CGGCCGCGGUAUCCUGACCGUGCAAAGGUAGCAUAAUCAUUUGCCUUUUAAUUGGAGGCUAGUAUGAAUGGGUAGACGUAGAUUUAGCUGUUUCUUUACUAUAAAUAAAACUUAAACUUUAGGUGAAGAUGCCUAAUUUUUAUAGAAAGACAAGAAGACCCUAUAGAGUUUUAGCUAAAUAUAUCCCUCUAUAAUAUUAUAACUUUGGUUGGGGCGACCUAGGAUUUUAUUAAACAUCCUAUUUAUUAUAAGAUAAAUUUAAUCUCAUUUAUAGACCCUAAAACGGAUUAUCAGAAUUAACUACCUUAGGGAUAACAGGCUUAUCUUCCUAGAGAGCUCUUAUUGAUAGGAUGGUUUGGCACCUCGAUGUUGGCUUAGA
rnacentral:rRNA from 1 species